UCCCUUCUCUCCCCUUAUCUCUGGAACCCCACUGAUGCGCAAGCAAGAGCCACCGCCAAGGCUUGUGCAAGCUCACGCCAUAUCCAGCAACAACCAUGCUUUCUCUGCAAGCACAAAUCCAGCCAUGGUGUGUUUGACGGCAAUUAGCUGACGGCGGUGAGAAGUUGCAGCAGCGGCGAGCGUUCUCGCGCGACUCUCUCGUAUGGGGGGUAGCAGCAAUGGGGCGGCUGCAAAAGCAAGGCUGGUCGCCGGCGGGAGCGCCAGCCACGCGGGGUUGCUCGCCGGAAGCAUCCGAUGCAAGGCCGCUCACCGGAAGCAUCUGAUGCUAUUGACGGCGACCGGCAGGCGGGGUGACGGCGGAUGCUGGUGUUGCGAGGAUGACGAAUACCCUAGCCAGGUCGUUUGCAUCAGCUUUUCAUCUCAAAGAUGUAUCUCCUGUUGAUCCAUGUACGCUCGAGGCUUCUUACGAAUUUUAAUUCAAUGACGUAUAUAAAUUGGUAUGAUGGGACAUAACAAAGUGAAGUGGUACUUUUGAUAGCAGUUCAAAUCAGUUUUCUGUACACAAUAAUGGGCUAGCUCUGUUCGAUGCCAUCGAGGACCUAACAGAAGUAGGGAGUACGAUCAGCGGAAGUUUUUGCCUCCUCUCUUGAUUGACUAGGCCGGCUCCCAUCAUGUCUCAGCUGGAUUCCACGGGCUGUGGCCCAGGUGGGCGACGGGUGACCCAACGCCUACCAAAGAGAAAAGAAGGGGAAAACGGACGGACGAACCAAGCGAUUUUUUAGUGAGGUGUAUAUAUCUAAAUUCAAAGUGAAAGUGUAAAUUCACGGGAAGAAGUGUAUUGUGAAGAUGAAUUCACGGAGUCAAUCCGUGCUUUAUUAUUAGGGAAAGAUAUUAUUAUUAUUAUUAUUAUUAUUAUUAUUAUUAUUAUUAUUAUUAUUAUAAAUAUAAAUAUAUAUAUUAUAUAUAUAAUAUAUAUUAUAUUAUAU
rnacentral:lncRNA from 1 species